GAAUAUUAGAUUAAAAGAGGUUUUUCUUUAAAGGAAAAUUAAAAGGGAAAAAGGUGAAAUGCCUUUGCAGCCCCCGCUACUGUAAAACGGACGAAACUAAAAAUUGCCACUGUCUUAAAAGAUGGGAAGGUAUAGGAGUAGGAUGAAGUUGAGCCAGGAUACCUGCCUAAUUUAAUUUAUUAAUG
rnacentral:ncRNA from 1 species